rnacentral:rRNA from 6 species
UUCGGGAGGGCGCUUACCACUUUGUGAUUCAUGACUGGGGUGAAGUCGUAACAAGGUAACCGUAGGGGAACCUGCGGUUGGAUCACCUCCUUA